rnacentral:lncRNA from 1 species
AUUGCUCCUUUGGGACUUCAUCAGCUGCAAACCCUCACAGUAUUUUUGUGUGUUUGGAAGUAAGAAGAGAGCAAGUGAGGGCCGAGACCUAAUGGGAAGACCCGGCGGCUGGGAGAAGGGGGCUCCUGGCCAGGAUCCGUGAGUUGGCUUCUUGAAGUGAAAGACAGAAAGCCCCAUCUGACAGGCACCCGACAAAGCUCCUCACACUCCGUAAAUGCCAACCAUCAUGAAUGUGGCUAUGAUUAAAUUGUGAUGAGGACUGUGACCC